AGAAGACUAGAAAAAAGAAACAAAAGUCAGCUAGUGCAGUGCUUGUCAUAAGAAUGGUAGUAAUUGAAGAUCAGAGACCUCAGAUUAAGAGCGCUGGUGGUGUAAAUGAGUGGACCGUCUUCUUCAACAAAACCCCAAAUCCAGGGUUACAGAGAAAGAGAAAGGCAGAGAGAGCCAGAGGAGACGGAAAGAAGAACAGAGAAUGAUGCUGAAUCAAUCUCUACUAGCCCAACAGAGUCAAGGAGUGCAGCAUACAUUUGGAAAAAUCUACAUCUACAGUUCAAAGCAUCUACAGUUCAAAGCUUUAUCACAUUGAAACACCUUUGUGUUGUGUGCUGUCGCUGGCCUCUUCAUCGAAGGUCAUCACUGUCUGGCAAUUAUCA